UGGGGAAUAUUGCACAAUGGGCGCAAGCCUGAUGCAGCCAUGCCGCGUGUGUGAAGAAGGCCUUCGGGUUGUAAAGCACUUUCAGCGGGGAGGAAGGCGAUAAGGUUAAUAACCUUGUCGAUUGACGUUACCCGCAGAAGAAGCACCGGCUAACUCCGUGCCAGCAGCCGCGGUAAUACGGAGGGUGCAAGCGUUAAUCGGAAUUACUGGGCGUAAAGCGCACGCAGGCGGUCUGUCAAGUCGGAUGUGAAAUCCCCGGGCUUAACCUGGGAACUGCAUUCGAAACUGGAAGGCUAGAGUCUUGUAGAGGGGGGUAGAAUUCCAGGUGGAGCGGUGAAAUGCGUAGAGAUCGGGAGGAAUACCGGUGGCGAAGGCGGCCCCCUGGACAAAGACUGACGCUCAGGUGCGAAAGCGUGGGGAGCAAACAGG
rnacentral:rRNA from 1 species